rnacentral:pre_miRNA from 1 species
AAAAAGGCAAACCCUGGGUUUUCGUGUGCAACUUUGACUGUCCGUCUUACAUGAAUUUUUUUUAAUUUAUGUUAGAUGAUAAAACAUGAUUAAUAUUUUAUGCGUGACUUGUCUUUUUAAAUUUUUUUAUAAUUUUUUUAAAUAAGACGGACGGUCAAACGUUGGGCACGGAAACCAGGGUUUGUCUUUUU